rnacentral:lncRNA from 10 species
AGAGGUGAAAGCAACGUAAAUAUCCAUCAAUGGGUGAAUGGAUAAAGAAGUGUGCUCUGUAAAGACAAUGGAAUAUUAUUCAUCCUUAAAAAGGAAGGAAAUUCAGUUGCAUGUUACUCAGUGGAUGAACCUUGAGGAUAUUAUGCUAUGUGAAAUAAGCCAAUCACAAAAUACAAAAAGUGUAUGAUGCCACUUGUAAAAGGUGUCUAGAGUAAUCAAACUCACAGGAACACAAUGGUGGCUGCCAGAAGCCAGGGAAGUAGGGGUGAGGAGUUGCUUUUCAGUCGGUGCAGAGUUUCAGUCAUGCAGGAGGGGAAAGGGGGCUUAGGAAUCUGUUGCACAACACUUUAAGUGUGGUUAACAAUAUUGUACUCUACAAGUAGAAAUUGUUGGGAGGGUGAAUUUUAGGUUAUGUGGUUUUUUGCCCUAAUUUUCUAAAAUAAAAAGCAAGUUGCAGAAUCAUAUGUACAGUAAAAAGUCAAAGGAUUUUAAAACACAAAACAAUGUCACAUAGAGUUUAUUUAUAGAUGCAUACAUAUAUAGUAGAAAUAUUAAAGCAAGCAUGAGAAAAAUAAAUAGAAAUCGAUGUUGGCAAUGACCUCUGGGAAGAGAGUUGUAUGGUAUGGGUCAGGAUUCUAGAGGAAUAGUCAUGUUUUAUUUUUAUUUCUUAAGAUCUGGAGUGAAGUGGGUAAAUUUUUAAAAGAUUUGUUUUCAAGAUUUUUUUAUUUUUCCAUUUGUUUGAAAAACCUGAUCAUUUUAAAUAAAAUCCUGGAGGCUCCCUCCUGCUCCCGACCCCUGACCAUCCCGGUCACCUCCCUGCAGCCAGGACCAGCAGGGCAGGCAGUGCUGGAACCUUCUGCUGCUGUCAGAGUAGCCUCCACAUGCUGGCAUGUGCUUGUGAUUAUUGGAACUCAUUCCUGGCUUUAUUUAUGCCACAGACAAAAAUAAUUCUCCCUUCCUGGGAGACAUGUCAUGGCUCCAGAAUGUCUUGGGAGGAGAGAGCCAGAGGGUGGGACUCUUGGGGCCACACGCGUGCCUCUGCUCAUCCAGACUAUACCCAGGGCCAAGGGGGUGAUAGACAGAUGCCAGGCUCCUAUUCCUUGAGAGCGAGGUCUGAGCUGGGAUAAUCCUUAGAGUCCAAAUCAACCCGAAAUAUACAUCAACCCUGUCCAUCUCUGUUUCCCCCAAGGACCCCAGGUUAGUUGAGGUAACUCCAGGGCAAGCCCAAAUCAUACCAGGGUAUAAUUUAGGGGAGUGCAGGCUUCAGGCCAGACCAAUCCCUGAUGUUCCCUUUUUCCUCAGCAUUCCCUGCAACAGAGCCUCACCUACCUUCGGGGCACUGCUGUGACAUUUGGGGUUUCAAGAAAGGCUCAGAGUCAGCCUCACUUCAGGGAGAACCCAGGCCUGGCCUGAACCCCACGCUUCCCCUGACUCCAGGACCUAGCCUGACCCACCUUCGAGAUUUCAUCUCGGGCCAGCCCCUCCCACGCCGGGGUCCGGAGUCAGUUUGGGCAGUUUUCUUUACUGUGAUGGAAGAGAACUGAGGGAAAGGUGGACGGGGACAGGGACUGCUGGGGACACUUAAAUAAUUUACUUUGAUAUUAUUUAUGCAAACUUUUAAAACAAACAGUAUAAUAUAUUUCUUAUAUAUGAUCAUUCCCAUAAACAAUAUAUUUAAAAUAUGAAAAGCACAGAAUAGAGCGAACAUAUCAGUGGUUGCCGUUGAGGAGGGGGAGAGAGGAGGGGAAUAGCAUUGAGGAAUGGUUAAAGGGGGACAUAAACUUUAUGUGUCAUGGUUUUAUGCCACAGAGAUAUGAAGCAAAAAUCACAAGUUAUUAUAUUAGUGUCUGUUUUUCCGGGUGGUGACUGCUGCAGUAUUGGCUACCAUAUUCUCUGUACUGUCUUUGUCUGGAUUUUUUUUUCCCAAUGGAGAAUUGGGAGAGCAAUGCCUUGCACUGCUGGGUGGAUUCGAUCCCCAGGCACUUCCUGACUCUCUUCAUGCUUCUCAAAAUCUCCCUGCCAUGCAGGCAGGGCCAGCUCUGCCUCACCCUUUGGGUUUUGUGAGUGACUUGGCCAAGUCUACGGCUGGUAAAUCUGGGCUGAGACUGGAACCAGGUUUCCCGGCUCCACAGUUCAGAGCUCUGUCCUGUGUCCUGGAGUCUCUAAGGUCCAGGAGACACCUCGACCUCCUGGAGGAAGAUGCUGCCACCUAAAACAGGUUUCCAGGGCAACCAGCUUCCCCAGCUGCUUGGAAAGAGGAGGGAUAUCCAGGGCUCCCUGGUGGGCUUGUCAUGCCCAGCAAGUCAGAGCCCAGUGGAGCCAAUGAGUACUGAAUGACUUCAUUCACUCAUGUAACAAGUAUCUAGUGACCUUGAGUAUGAUCCAGGCCCCCUG